CCCCGGCACAGUGGGGCGUCUUGUCCAGCGCCGAGUAGCUCGGGCUGGCGCGGUAGUAGCUGGGCACGGGUACCUCGUGCUCCCCGAGGCAGGACUCCGGCAGGGGGUGGGAGUAGAGAGCUGCCUCGGGGCCACUUUUCGCCCGCUUCUCUGCGCUGUACAUGCAGCAGACAUUCUCCUCCUUGACACUAGGUGGGUAGGAGCAGGAGGACAGCGGCCUGCCAACAGGUUGUUCCAGGCGAUAGGCGGCUUUGGGGUCGCCCCAGGAGUCCAGCUGCGAGAGACCAAUGGGAUUUGAAAAUGGCCUUGAUGAUUCAGACGGCCGUGACGUCAGCGGGGUCAAGUUGUCGGCAGGCGGAGCGCGCAGAGUGGAGUAACAGCGCCACCUAGCAGCGGCCUCGGGGGAAUCUUCCGGGAAAGAAAGAGGGAACCCGCGGAGCCUCGGCCAGUUUGGAGGAGUCACGUAUCACACGGGAAACCAGCAUGCAAGACGCAACAAAACUCGACCCAGAGAAGUGUCUUUUACAGAGCGAAUGGGCUGGGAGCAUGUUUGAAAGAAGACAGGCCAGUUUAUUUUUGUGGUUGUUUUUAAAUAAAAGGAAGAAA